AGUGAACGCUGGCGGUAGGCCUAACACAUGCAAGUCGAACGGCAGCACAGUAAGAGCUUGCUCUUACGGGUGGCGAGUGGCGGACGGGUGAGGAAUACAUCGGAAUCUACUUUUUCGUGGGGGAUAACGUAGGGAAACUUACGCUAAUACCGCAUACGACCUACGGGUGAAAGCAUGGGAUCUUCGGACCUUGCGCGAUUGAAUGAGCCGAUGUCGGAUUAGCUAGUUGGCGGGGUAAAGGCCCACCAAGGCGACGAUCCGUAGCUGGUCUGAGAGGAUGAUAAGCCACACUGGAACUGGGACACGGUCCAGACUCCUACGGGAGGCAGCAGUGGGGAAUAUUGGACAAUGGGCGCAAGCCUGAUCCAGCCAUACCGCGUGGGUGAAGAAGGCCUUCGGGUUGUAAAGCCCUUUUGUUGGGAAAGAAAAGCAGCAGGUUAAUACCCCGCUGUUCUGACGGUACCCAAAGAAUAAGCACCGGCUAACUUCGUG
rnacentral:rRNA from 1 species